rnacentral:rRNA from 1 species
ACGAACGCUGGCGGCGUGCCUAAUACAUGCAAGUAGAACGCUGAAGAGAGGAGCUUGCUCUUCUUGGAUGAGUUGCGAACGGGUGAGUAACGCGUAGGUAACCUGCCUUGUAGCGGGGGAUAACUAUUGGAAACGAUAGCUAAUACCGCAUAACAAUGGAUGACACAUGUCAUUUAUUUGAAAGGGGCAAUUGCUCCACUACAAGAUGGACCUGCGUUGUAUUAGCUAGUAGGUGAGGUAAUGGCUCACCUAGGCGACGAUACAUAGCCGACCUGAGAGGGUGAUCGGCCACACUGGGACUGAGACACGGCCCAGACUCCUACGGGAGGCAGCAGUAGGGAAUCUUCGGCAAUGGGGGCAACCCUGACCGAGCAGCGCCGCGUGAGUGAAGAAGGUUUUCGGAUCGUAAAGCUCUGUUGUAAGUCAAGAACGGGUGUGAGAGUGGAAAGUUCACACUGUGACGGUAGCUUACCAGAAAGGGACGGCUAACUACGUGCCAGCAGCCGCGGUAAUACGUAGGUCCCGAGCGUUGUCCGGAUUUAUUGGGCGUAAAGCGAGCGCAGGCGGUUUGAUAAGUCUGAAGUUAAAGGCUGUGGCUCAACCAUAGUUCGCUUUGGAAACUGUCAAACUUGAGUGCAGAAGGGGAGAGUGGAAUUCCAUGUGUAGCGGUGAAAUGCGUAGAUAUAUGGAGGAACACCGGUGGCGAAAGCGGCUCUCUGGUCUGUAACUGACGCUGAGGCUCGAAAGCGUGGGGAGCGAACAGGAUUAGAUACCCUGGUAGUCCACGCCGUAAACGAUGAGUGCUAGGUGUUGGAUCCUUUCCGGGAUUCAGUGCCGCAGCUAACGCAUUAAGCACUCCGCCUGGGGAGUACGACCGCAAGGUUGAAACUCAAAGGAAUUGACGGGGGCCCGCACAAGCGGUGGAGCAUGUGGUUUAAUUCGAAGCAACGCGAAGAACCUUACCAGGUCUUGACAUCCCGAUGCUAUUUCUAGAGAUAGAAAGUUACUUCGGUACAUCGGUGACAGGUGGUGCAUGGUUGUCGUCAGCUCGUGUCGUGAGAUGUUGGGUUAAGUCCCGCAACGAGCGCAACCCCUAUUGUUAGUUGCCAUCAUUCAGUUGGGCACUCUAGCGAGACUGCCGGUAAUAAACCGGAGGAAGGUGGGGAUGACGUCAAAUCAUCAUGCCCCUUAUGACCUGGGCUACACACGUGCUACAAUGGUUGGUACAACGAGUUGCGAGUCGGUGACGGCGAGCUAAUCUCUUAAAGCCAAUCUCAGUUCGGAUUGUAGGCUGCAACUCGCCUACAUGAAGUCGGAAUCGCUAGUAAUCGCGGAUCAGCACGCCGCGGUGAAUACGUUCCCGGGCCUUGUACACACCGCCCGUCACACCACGAGAGUUUGUAACACCCGAAGUCGGUGAGGUAACCUUUUGGAGCCAGCCGCCUAAGGUGGGACAGAUGAUUGGGGUG